rnacentral:rRNA from 1 species
UACGUAGGAUGCAAGCGUUGUCCGGAAUUAUUGGGCGUAAAGAGCGCGCAGGCGGUUUGCCAAGUCAGAUGUGAAAGAGGCCGGCUUAACCGGCAAGGGUCAUUUGAAACUGACAGACUAGAGUGCAGCAGAGGAUAGCGGAAUUCCCGGUGUAGUGGUGAAAUGCGUAGAUAUCGGGAGGAACACCGGUGGCGAAGGCGGCGACCUGGUCCUUGACUGACGCUGAGGCGCGAAAGCGUGGGGAGCAAACAGG